GAUAGGUUGGAAAAUGAGUUAAUCCCCUUACCAUACAGUUUGAAGAUGUAUAUAAGGUUGAUUUCCAUAAUUCACAUCUCCUCCUUUUAUUGGUGAGCAUAGGAGAGUAAAAAGAGCGAGAAACGGGCCGAAAAUAGAGAAAAUAGACCCACAUGAAAAAUCAACAUGGCCUGGGCUUCCUCACACGGGCGUGUCCCACAGCCGUGUCCCUUUGGCAGGAUCGAAGCAUGACUUACACGGGUAGACUACAUGCCCGUCCCUAUUCAACAGCCUUGACCACAGGCUGGAGUAAUCGCACACGGGUGUGUCACACGGGCUUGUCCUUGCCAAGCCCAAGUAUAACCCAAUUCAGAAAAGGCCAAUUUUGAGGGCUCUUAGGCAUUCUAAAGCCUAUUUAAACACCUAAGGAG